CAAGUACUCCCUCCGUCCGAAAUUACUUGUCAUCAAAAUGGAUGUGUCUAGAACUAAAAUUCAUCUAGAUACAUCCAUUUCAAUGACAAGUAUUUUCGGACGGAGGGAGUAAAAG
rnacentral:pre_miRNA from 1 species